rnacentral:lncRNA from 1 species
UGAACAUUCCAACCGUCCCCAGCCGGCCGGGUUUCAGGUUUGAAAAGGUGGGAAGGUUAGCUGUCCUGGCGCUUUUCCUCCACGUGUUGUGCGGCUCCGCUGGAGUUCGGGUCCAGCACCUUCUACUCCGAGGGAGAGAGCCGCGGGGAGAGCCCUGUUCGGGCCCGCGGCUCGAACUGACCGCCGGCUCUGCCGAGCAGCCUCGACCCCAGGGCACCCCCGGGAGAGAGGGCGCGGCUCAGGUCCCUGCCCGAACCCCUGGGGUGCUGAGAGACUCCCCAGCGCCCCGCGUGGGCUCCCGGCCUCUCCACAGUUGAGGAUCCUGUAAGGGGCGAGCCCUUUUUCCCAUAAUGGCUGUAGUGAGUGGGUGUGCUUUCCCGAUUGACCCGCUGUGAGAAAUGUGGUUUACAGCUUCUAUCAGGAUUAGCUUCAGCUUCAAGUGACAAAAGUCACUUGAAAUAUGAGUUGCUGAAACAAGAUGGCAGUCUCUCCCCUCAACAGGACUGUUACAACACCUUAUCUUCAGAGAACCAGGCUCUCUGCAACAUUUCAGGGACGUCGUUCAGUACCUUAUGUGGAAUUCAAGCUUAGCUGGGCAUCCUAUGUUUUAACUGGCUAACUCGUGGAACUCUCAACUUGGAUCAAGUGGUAGUGGAGUCCCAGGGACUCUGAGCAGCCAGUGUGUGAUACUGCAGGGCAGCACACCCUGGGGAGGCCAACUGUACAGAAUAAAAUUAAUGCUUUCUAUCUUUAGCAACUAAAGUUCUGAAAUAUAAAAAGGACCUCACAGCUUAACCCAUGUUAUACGGUGGGGUUUUCCCAUGAACAUCACGCGUUUCCAGCUGGGCACUCCUGCAGCAUGGCUAAGAUGACAACUCAAGUUCCCUGGGAGUGGGGGUUCCUGGGAUGUGAACCUUUCGGUGCAAAAACUGGAGAAGUUCCAGUUGGGACCCCAGGCAUAGAUACUAGGAUAAAUAGGGCCUCUCUCCUCCAGGAGCAUCAAUUUAACCCAAAGAUUCUUGGAGUCAGUUUCACAUAAGUAAUCUUGUUGAAAAUAGUAAUCCCAACAGAUCUAUUUUUCCAAAUGCACCAUUUGCAUAAAUCUCAGAAAAAAGACAACUUCAAGAACAUACCUUUGCUGGGCACCAUGGCUCAUGCCUGUAAUCCCAACUACUUGGCAGGCUGAGGCACGAGGAUCACUUGAGGCCAGGAGUCUGAGAUCAGCUUGGGCAACUGAUUUAUGGUUUGGAUUUGUGUCCAUGCCCUUCCUCUUCUGCCAUGAUUAUAAGUUUCCUGAGGCCUCCCUAGCCAUGCUUCCUGUACAGCCUACAGAACUAUGAGUCAAUUAAACCUCUUUUCUUUAUAAAAAAAAAA